rnacentral:rRNA from 1 species
UGCCAGCAGCCGCGGUAAUACAUAGGGGUCAAGCGUUAAUCGGAAUUACUGGGCGUAAAGCGUUCGCAGGCUGUUUUACAAGUCAGAUGUGAAAUCCCCGAGCUCAACUUGGGAACUGCGUUUGAAACUGUAAGACUAGAGUGUGGUAGAGGAAAGUGGAAUUUCUGGUGUAGCGGUGAAAUGCGUAGAUAUCAGAAGGAACAUCAAUGGCGAAGGCAGCUUUCUGGACCAAUACUGACGCUGAGGUACGAAAGCGUGGGUAGCAAACAGGAUUAGAUA